CAACAACGGUGAAUCUAACCACGCAAAUCAUAAACCCUCCCCCGACUGUUUCCGCCUCAUUCCCCUAUUUCUAAAACCCUACGCCCUUUCUCUCAAAAAAAAAAAAAAAAUACUGCCUCCUGCCCUCCCCCCAGAAAAACAGAAGUCCGAAGAUGAUGAGCUUAAUCCUCAGGAGAUCAUCUUCUCAAGGCCCAAGAUUUGCUCCGGCCUCCUUGACAUCCCUUGAAACGCUUUUACACCAGUUCUCAUCCACGUCGACGUACUUUGUUGUGCCCAGAAAUGGCGUUCUCUAUGUGGAGAGUAGACCGAGAAGCUCCUUUGGAUUUAAUAAUAAUAACAAAUGGAGGAACUUUCAUGUGCAAUCAGGGCCCUUGAAUUUUAGGGCAUCACUGACGUCGCAGGCAGAGUUUGCAGUCGACGAUUAUGGCUACGAGGAGGAGAAGGGGUUUGGAGGAAAAGGGAAUAUGAGUAUGAAUAGUAGUGAGGAAGGGCUUGAGAUUGGAAAACUGAGUAUUUCUGAAGAGAUUGUUUCUGCUUUGUCCAAAAGAGGCAUUACCACACUCUUCCCCAUACAGAAAGCUGUGCUCGAACCAGCAAUGAAAGGGAGAGACUUGUUUGGACGGGCUAGAACAGGAACAGGAAAGACUCUUGCAUUUGGAAUUCCCAUCAUUGAUCGAAUCAUUCAGUUCAAUCAAAAGCAUGGACGGGGUAGGAACCCUUUGGCCCUGGUUAUGGCUCCGACAAGGGAACUUGCACGCCAAGUUGAGAAAGAGUUUCGUGAGUCAGCACCCAGCCUGGAUACCAUAUGUCUAUAUGGGGGUACACCUAUUGUGCG
rnacentral:misc_RNA from 1 species